AGGUACUGAGCGUCUUGUUGUGGAGACCAGAUGCAAUGCCUGGGCCUCCUGCUCCAGCUCCCAUCCAGCCCUGGGUCAAAGCCUGCAGGCGAAGGACAGGACAGCAGAGUGAGCUCCAGGAUGUGGAGGAAGGAAGAUGAGGUGUGGUGGGGAAAGGUUCUGGAGGCCACAAGUGUGAAAUCAAGAUGUCAGCAGUGCCAUACUCUCUCUGAAGUCUGUUGGAGAGAACUCUUCUUUGUCUCUCCCAGUUUCUGGUGGUUUCCAGCAAUCCGUGGCUUCCUUGGCUUGUCGUCGCAUCAUUCCAGUCUCAGUCAUCAUGCGGCCUCCUCACUAUGUGUCUGUCUGUGUUUACAUUUUCCUCUUCUCAUAAGGGCAGCAGUAAAUGGAUUAGGCAUGCUAGUAUAUCUUCUUCGCUUGAUGGCAUCUGCAGACUCUGUUUCCAAAUAAGGCCUUGUUCAUGGGUACUGGGGUUAGGACUUCAACACCUCAUUUCUAGUCUCCUAUAUCACCAUGAAGAAAGCUAUGCUAGAAAGCUAUGUCUUUGUUACUUAUACAAAGUGGUAUUGAUAAUAGCUACUUACUCAAAACUACUCAGAAUAAGAUCAGUUUCUAGCAUGACAGUAUGAGGAGCCGCCUGACCCACUCCUCCAGGUAAACUGGUAAAAACAGCCAUUUAAGGCUUCUGGAAAUAGUCCCAAGGAAAAACAGCAAAGGAAGGAACCUGUAUUCAAGAAAAUGUACUAAUUUGGUAGAAGAGGUGAAUCUGUGGGAUUUGAAACAAGACCACUUCUUUCCUCCCCACUCCCAGCUCAGCACGGUGGCAAUUUCCCUCCAGACAGCUACUGCUGAAACACAGGUCUCCUCUCCUCCCAGCACAGAGGGCCUCCUUCCAGGGAGGAGUAGGAUGGCAGUGUCCUUCAUCCUGCCCCCAGCUCCCUGUUGCUGAGGCUGUCUCAGAUGAAUGCAGUUGAGAGGUGGGGGCUGCCACCCCUACCUGCUACUCAUGGAAGGAGACUCUACCUUGGGUGUGACAUGCUGAGAAGACUGUGGCCCUGGUCACUUUUGCCCUGGCUCUUGAGGUGGUGUUUCCAUGCCAGAAGGCUCAAGUUAAGAAGACCACUGGCUAUCCCCAACUCCUCCACCAAGCACCCAGCCCCUAGGCAGGGGGUGUCACUCAGAGAAAAGCUUACCAUUGUUUCUACCCCCAGCUCCAGAGCUCUGGUUCAGAUAUUUUGUUGCAAGGUAGGGGAGAAGAAGCAGUUCAGAGAAAAAAAGGUAAUUCUUAAUCUCUUCCCAAGGGAACUGACUUCAUUUUCAACAGAGCUUGGAGAAAAUUAAGCCUAAGUAUGCUCUGAAAACACAGUGGAGGUUGUGGUGAAGGGCAAUUGGGAGAGGCUAGUUUGCAGGAGAGAACCCAGAAUAAACCACUGGGAAGGAACCCUUCUGGGGGUCAGAACAAAUAUCAAACACUGACCUCAGAAACUAUUCUUUCAAAGGAGCCACAGUUUAAUGGGGUUAGUUUGUGGAACACUUUAUGCCCCAGGAUAUUGUUGAAAACAAUAGGGCAAUUGGCCACCAAUUAAUGGAGCUUAACAGCUGGAUGUGGUUAGGGAAGUGCCAGAGAGCCCUAGCAAAACCACUGUCAUCCCAGCACGACUGUGGGCAUAUGCAAAGCUGAACCUCUUUAGGGAGCAAUAUGAGAGGCUUAACGCUUUGGGAGGGAAAAUAUACAGUUGACCUUUGGACAACACAGGUUUGAACUGCGUGAAUCCACCUAUACAUGAAUUUUUUUCCACCACUGCCAACCUUGAGACAAGACUGACCCCUAUUCUUCUCCCUCCUCUGCAGCAUACUCUACAUGCAGAUGUUGUGGAUAAAGAUCUUUAUGAUGAUCUACUUCCACCUAAUGAAUAGUAAAUGUAUUUUCUCUUCCUUAGGAUUUUCUUAAUAAUAUGCUCUUUUCUGUAACUUAUUUUACUGAAAGAGUACAGUAUAUAAUACAUAUAACACACAAAAUAUAUGUUAAUUGACUAGCUGUGUUAUCAGUGAGGCUCCUUCUGGUCAACAGUAGGCUAUUAGUAAAGUUCUGGGGCAUCAAAAGUUAUACACAAUUAUUUUACUGCAUAGGCAGUCAAUGCCCAUAACCCCUACUUUGUUCAAGUGUCAACUUUACUUCAUGAAAAUAAACCAGGCAGUCACUAAAAACAAUCAAUAAGCAAAUAACAAUAACAAGUCCUGAAGGAGGGAAAGACCAAUAUCCAGAGUCAGUAGAAUAUAUUAUCUAAAAUGUCCAGUUUCUCACAAAAAAUUACAAGGCAUGCAAACAAACAAGAAAGUAUAAUAUGAUCCAUACACCUGAAAAAAAGCAGAGAAAGAAACUAACUUUAAGAAUGAUAAGACAUAGGCUGAGUGUGCCUGUAAUCUCAGCACUUUGAGGGGUUGAGGUGGGAGGAUUGCUUGAGCCCAGGAGAGUGAGGCUAGGCAUCUAUCACACCACUGUGCUCUAGCCUGGGUGACAAAGUGAGACCCUGUCAAAAAAAAGAAAAAAAAAAAACCCUCAAAAAACCUGUUAUAAGCAUGUUCACAGAGCUAAAAGAAGGGAUGAUGACCAUGUUCCAUCAAAUAGAGAAUGCCAACAGAGAGACAGAAUAAUCAAAUGGAAAUUCUGGAUUUGAAAAGUACAAUAAUUGAAAUGAAAUAUUCACUAAAGGGGCUCAAAAGUAGAUUUGAACUGGCAGAAGAAAGAAUAUGUGAAAUUGAAGAUAGAUCAAUAGAGACUAUGCAAGCUGAAGAACAGAAGAAGGAAUAAUGAAAAGUGAAGAGCACUUCAGAAAAUGUGAGACACCAUUAAGUGCACCAACAUACAUGUAAUGGAAGUAUCAGAAGGAAAGGAGAGAAAGGAGCAGAAAAAUCUUGAAGAUUAAGUGGGAAGAUCACUUGAGCUCAGGAGUUUGAGACCAGCCUGGGCAACCUAGUGAGACUUCACCUCUGUUAAAAAAAAUAGCUGGGUGUGGUGAUGUGCACCUGUAGUCCCAGCUAUUCAGAAGGCUGAGGUGGAAGAUUUUUUUAAGCUCGGGAUUUCUGCACUACAGUAAGCUAUGAUCGUGCCACUGCACUCCAGCCUGGGUGAAAGAGCGAGACCCUGUCUCAAUUUUUUUUUUUUCUGAAGAACUAGUGUCUGGAAGCUCCCCAAAUUUACUGAUAGAUAUUUGUCUGUAGUUUUCUUUUCUUGUAAUGUCUUUUUCUGCUUUUGGUACUAGGAUAAUGCUAGCGUCAUCGAAUGAGUUAGAAAGUAUUCCCUUUUCAUCUAUCUUCUGAAAGAGCUUAUAAGGGAAUUGGUAUAGUUUCUUCCUGAAGUGUUGGUGGAAUUCACCAAUGAACUCAUCUGGGCCUGGUACUUUCUGUUUUAGAAGGUUAUUAAUUAUUGAUUCAAUUUCUUUAAUAAAUAUAAGC
ensembl:lncRNA novel transcript